rnacentral:rRNA from 1 species
CACCGGCGGCUCGAGUGGUGGCCACUUUUAUUGGGCUUAAAGCGUUCGUAGCUGGGUUGUUUAGUCUCUUGGGAAAUCUGGCGGCUUAACCGUCAGGCGUCUAAGGGAUACUGGCAAUCUUGGAACCGGGAGAGGUGAGGGGUACUUCGGGGGUAGGAGUGAAAUCCUGUAAUCCUCGAGGGACCACCUGUGGCGAAGGCGCCUCACCAGAACGGCUUCGACAGUGAGGGACGAAAGCUGGGGGAGCAAACCGGAUUAGAUACCCGGGUAGUCCCAGCCGUAAACUAUGCGCGUUAGGUGUAUCGGUGACCACGAGUUACCGAGGUGCCGAAGGGAAACCGUGAAACGUGCCGCCUGGGAAGUACGGUCGCAAGGCUGAAACUCAAAUGAAUUGACGG